UACGUAGGGUGCAAGCGUUGUCCGGAAUUAUUGGGCGUAAAGAGCUCGUAGGCGGUUUGUCGCGUCUGCUGUGAAAUCCCGAGGCUCAACCUCGGGUCUGCAGUGGGUACGGGCAGACUAGAGUGUGGUAGGGGAGAUUGGAAUUCCUGGUGUAGCGGUGGAAUGCGCAGAUAUCAGGAGGAACACCGAUGGCGAAGGCAGAUCUCUGGGCCAUUACUGACGCUGAGGAGCGAAAGCAUGGGGAGCGAACAGG
rnacentral:rRNA from 1 species